UGACCCACAUGAAAUGUUUACAUUGUGCAGUUACUAAUACGAUCUAUGCUGAAGAAUACAACCAAGUUCUUGCAUGUUGUGUUAAGGAGAAUAAAAUGGACAGUCAUACCUUUGCAGUAGACAACUUGGUAGCCAGCAAUGGAAUGGUGACAGUGAAGAAGGAGCCGAUGGACGAUGAGUACGACCAGACCUGGAUCACACAGACUGCGCAUGCUGCUGUAGAUGAGGACGGAGAUGAACCAGGAGGCAGUCAGGAUGACCUGGAAGAAAUGAGUCUGGCAGACGGCAAGCAAGCAGACAUCAACCUUAACCUGAUAUGUGCAGUCAGCUCAGAGAUCGCGCUGGUCAUACAAGAGGGUCAGCCCGUACACACGAAGGUCACCUACUACUGGUGCAACUUCUGCAGCUUCAAGUCAAAAGCCAAGCAGGCGUUACUAGAGCAUGUCCUUGAGCAUCGCUUUCACUGCAAGUACUGUCCAUUCCAGGCAUUCUCGCGGGCCGCUGUCAUAGCUCAUUGCUAUGGUGAGCAUGACAGCUUUGCUGACACCGCUCGGACACUGAGGUACUGUACGUUUAUGCCUGGCAUCCCCAGUGGAGAUCAGGUCACCGGUAAACGCAAGUGCCAGGAUGAGCAGGCCGCGCAACCUCCAGCCAAGCAGGCCAGGCUAGGGGACAAUAUUACAUGGGCGGUGACAGAACCAGAUAACACUAAUAGCAUCUUAAAGUCUCCAAAGAAGGAAAGUUCACCUAAUGAAAACACUCCAGAUCAGGACAGCAUAGCAGUGUCCAGUAGUGUUGAUUCAGCUCCCUGUGCCAAUGGAGAGGUCCUGCCAGUUAUAUCCAGCGUGCUGAGUGGAGAUCAGGCAGUGAGUGCUGCCAUCUCGGGACUUGAGGAAAGCGUAACCAGCAGCACUAGCAGCAGUGGCAGCAGCACGGUGAAGCCAGUCCCUACAGGACUUUGCUGGAACUGUGGCUACUGCGGCUUUGUGACGUUCAGUCAGAACUUCCUGAAAGUGCACCUGAAUCGUGAGCACCCUCUCAAACCUCAUAAGUAUGUAGCCAUGUUGGCCUCAUCUGAAGAAGAAAUAUCAAGAAUCAAGGCCUCAGAUACAAAACACAUGUCUGCAGCUGGGUUGAACUCCCCCACGACUGCAAAUCAAGUGCCAGCGUCCAGUCUAGGCAUUGACAAUGGCAAGAUAAAGGAGUCAACGCUGAGAAGCACUGGUAAACAACAAGACACUACUGAUGACAAUAGUAGAAGCGCUAUGUUGGCAGAACUGGAAAAGAAAAUCCCUGCCUCAUUCAAAUGUGGUCAUUGCAAUCGGACUGUGAAACAACAGGAGGAGAUCAAAAGUCAUCUGUUACAGAAGCAUGCAGGUGGUGUCAUGUAUGCACUUGACAUGAAGGCUGUGAAGCUGAGACAGAAACGCUACGUAUUCUUUUGCUUGCAAAAUAAAUGUACAUUCAGUACCAAGGAUGCUGAUGCCUAUUUGGAGCAUUGCGACAUAUGUAUGCCAUGGGUGGGGCAGAAGCCUGCCAAUGUCGAAGAAAGUCUAGUGAAGUCACUGGAACUGACUAAGAAUUUUAUAGACAAAACUGCACGAUUUACAGACAUAGGGAAAGAUUCUCGAACGAACCAGAGUGAGUAUGGGUGCCAGCUCUGUGUCUAUGCGACAAACAACAAUACCAAAAUGAAGAAGCACGUUCUUACGAACCAUCCCGGCACAAGCACAAAGAUCAAAUGUCUGAGGUCUGCAGAGACAACAUUUGUGUACUUCUGUAGCAUCUGCCUGUGGGAGACCAAGCAUGCCCACGAGUUGGAGCGACAUACUGCAGAAAAGCAUGCAGACCAAGCCUCUAACGACCCUGAGCGGUCCUCCAGCGUGGAAAGUUCUGCCAGUGUGAUCAGUGUCAGCCAGGAGAGCGAUAGUGGGGAGGAGACUGAAGGAGUGUAUGAGACCACUGGGCCCGUUCAGGCUGUCAAUACCUACAAUGGCAAGGUCAGCAAGGACCAGUAUGAUGCAGCCUUGAACGAGUUCAUCGAGUUUGAAAAUGAAAGAAGGUCUGUUUAUCGUCCGACACGGAAAGCUGCAAUGAUGUGUAAUCUGAACAUGAGCAAAACCGUGCCACCUCUGUACCAGUGUUGUUACUGCCCCAGGCUCAUGUUUGGUGUGGGGCUCAUAAAGGAACACAUGAGAGAGAAUCAUAAAACAAUGGCGCUGUUAGCUGUCGACGUUAACAAACUUGGAAAGGGCAGUAACAGCUCUCAGAUUGCUAUAUGCCCCGCUGAUACUCAGUGUACAUUCAUAUCAAGCCAUGUGCCAAAUGUGAUAUCUCAUGCCAAAAUAAAACAUAACAUGUUAGCUAAGCACGCAGAAUUGGUGAAACUGGCUGAAGUGCAUAGCAAGGUGGCGAGUAACCCAUCCAAACCUCUAAAAUCACCUGUGAGCUCAAAUAAUUCCAAAGAUUCCUACAGAUGCGUGUAUUGCUCAAAUUUCCCACCAGUCCACUCCAAAUCCGUAAUAAAGCACCAUCUGCUCUCUGAACAUCGCAAUGAAGUGUUUAUAUAUAAAUUCUGUGCAGCUGGAAAUCCCAAUCCUGAUGAGAAGCAUUACAUGUGUGCAGACAUGAGCUGCGAGUUCACAACCAAAGAGGAGGAUAGCUACCUGCUACACAACCUGGCCCACCUGAAGGGGCAGAUCCAUGAGUGCUCCACGUGCCAUUGGCAUAGCAGCCAGCUGGAGGAGGCUCGGGCUCACGCAGGGAACCACCGUCCACCCGCCAACGUGCUCACCCUGGAUCUGAAGCUGGGACCUGAUGGAGAGGUUGUGAGGCUUGUGCAGGGAACUCAAAUCAAAACUGAGGCGCCUGAACUGUGACAGGUGUUGUGUGCGUCAGCAGUCGGUUUUUCUAAUUCAAUUGCCGAGCUGGCAUUUCUUUCAUAUCGAUCUCUCGCUCCCGGUGUAUAUUGAACAGGACAAGACCGGACACGCGCUCUGUUUCCAUGGUGCUUCGGAGGUAUGUCUUCACCUGUCUCAUUGUACAAAAAGAUCUCCGCUGUUGCUACUGGCAUGCAGAGCAGAACGAGAAGACAUUGCAAGUUUUUUUCUCCUACCCAUCUCUUCUGUGCCCACGGUGUCAGUCUCCAAGUCCUCAUGGAACCGCAAAAGCCGUUAGGCAGAGUAGUCAAAGGCAAACGCUAUUGUUAGGACAGUUGCCAUCAUGUUCUUAGAGUGCAUCGAGUCGUAGGCGUGUAUAAUGGCGAGAUUCAACCAGUGCACCUUGCAGUGAGUGAUACAGCUCUCGUGACGAUGGCUUGGAUGCGAGCCCCAUUUGCUUCCCCGACAUGUUCGACGCACCAUCAUAACUUUGGCUGCGCAUUUUCUGAAUGUUUACUUCAUGAGCUGGAAGGUUCUCGAGGAAGGCUGUCAGAGCUUCGCCGGUGGUAGACUUGCACUCGGCAAAUCCAACUAACUCCUACAGGAGACAUGCUUUCUCUGCAUCGCAAAAUCUAAGGCAGAUUGCCAUUUGCUCCAUAGUGAAAGCAUCAGUGGCUUUGUCCGCCAUAAAUUGGAAACAGAACAACUGUACUGGAUGUUGGCUGGUCUGGUUUUCCGUCGAAAACAUCUCUGUACGGGGCGACAUCAAAUUAAGCCAUUCUUAAAAUCUCCAGCUUCGUUAACAAUCCAUUCCGAUACUUAGUAGAAAACAACGAUAAAGCACAGUCGAUAAUAAUGUAAUGGGUAGUCACCACCAAAAGAAACGUGACCUCAAAAAUAGUAGCUAAACCAUGCGAAUUCUACGAAGUUGAAAAAAACAAACUUUAAGACAGUUUAAGUAUUUUCGAUAUUUAAACACAUCUCUCGCAUAGAAAAAAUGCCUAAUCUGGGUUAGGCAUCACAUUUUAUUGCAUUUUUCGCUGACUUUAAUUUUGUAUUUUUUUCAAACAGCGAACGCACGUGCGUAUUUGCUUAUGCCCAGCUACAGCCCUGAUGGGUGAAAUAACAAUACUGACGAGUGAUGUAAUGUAAUUGAUUAAAUAUGCGUUUUUUUU